rnacentral:lncRNA from 1 species
AGGUGACACCUGAAGGGGUUGGGGACACCCAUGGGUGACAGUGACAUCACUGCGUGUUGGGGACACCUAAAGGUGACACCAAUGGGUGUUGGUGACACCCAUGGGUGACAGUGACAUCACUGGGUGUUGGGGACACCUAAAGGUGACACCUGAGGGCGUUGGGGACACUGAAAGGUGACACGGUUGGCUGUUGGGGGCACCCAUGGGUGAUGGUGACACCAAUGGGUGUUGGGGACACCUAAAGGUGACACCUGAAGGUGUUGGUGACACCCAUGGGGGACGGUGACACCCAAAGGUGACGCCUGAAGGUGUUGGGGACACCCAUGGGUGACGGGGACACUGAAAGGUGAUGCCUGAAGGUCUUGGUGACACCCAUGGGUGACGGUGACACCCAAAGGUGACACCUGAAGGUGUUGGUGACACCCAUGGGUGACAGUGGCAGCGUUGGGUGUCACUUCUUGGCCAGCUUCGCCUGUUUGUGUUUCGGAGGAGCCCAACGGAGACAGAUGGAAUCAACUGGAGGCCAAAAAAACCCCAAACCCGUAAUUAGCGGAGAUGGGGCCCAAAUAAGGGGCGCUAAUGAGGAGAGGGGCGUUAAUUAGGGGCGUUAAUUACCGGUGAUGGGAGGCUUCUUGUACUGGGCGCUCUUGAGGUGUUCCUCCACCAGUUUGGGGGUGACGCAGAUGACGUGUUGCCCCUUCCAGUACUUCACCAUGUUGAGCGACUGCAGGGUGCUGAUGAUGUCAGUCUGCGUGAUGCUGGUCAUCUGGCUGUGAGGGGGGGGUACUGGUCUUACUGGGAGCUCACUGGUCUUACUGGGAGCUCACUGGUCUUACUGGGAGCUUACUGGUCUUACUGGGAGGUACUGGGAGCUCACUGGUCCCAUACUGGUCCCAUACUGGUGUUACUGGUCCCACACUGGUGUUUCUGGUCCCAUACUGGUCCCAUACUGGUGUUUCUGGUCCCAUACUGGUCCCAUACCGCUGUUACUGGUCCCACACCGGUGUUACUGGUGCCGUACUGGUGUUACUGGUGCCAUACUGGUGUACCUGAGGUCCUUGAUGGACAGCGUGCCUCGGAAGUCCCUGAGGAUCUCCAGCAGCACCCAGGACCAGUAGCUGCGGUAGCUCAGCUUGCCCAGAUCCGACAGCGGCUUCUCGGGGGAUCCCACGGUGCUCUCCAGCUUGGACAGCUCGUAACCUAAGGGCGGCCCCAAAACGGCCCCAAAUGGCACCGAAAGACCCCAAAAUGACUCUAAAUGGCUCCCAAGUAGGUCAAAGUGGCCACAAAUGGCACCCAAAUGGCCCCAAACGACCCCAAAAUGGCCCCAAACGACCCCAAAUUGGCCCUAAAUGGCUCCCAAGUAGGUCAAAGUGGCCACAAAUGGCACCCAAAUGGCCCCAAACGACCCCAAAAUGGCCCUAAAUGGCACC